rnacentral:rRNA from 1 species
UACGGGGGGGGCAAGCGUUGUUCGGAAUUACUGGGCGUAAAGGGUUCGUAGGUGGCCUGCUAAGUCAGACGUGAAAUCCCCAGGCUCAACCUGGGAACUGCGUCUGAUACUGGAUGGCUUGAAUCCGGGAGAGGGAUGCAGAAUUCCAGGUGUAGCGGUGAAAUGCGUAGAUAUCUGGAGGAAUACCGGUGGCGAAGGCGGCAUCCUGGACCGGCAUUGACGCUGAGGAGCGAAAGCCAGGGGAGCAAACGGG